rfam:Gorilla gorilla gorilla genomic chromosome, chr19, whole genome shotgun sequence
GCUUGGUGUGGUGGUGCACAUCUGUAAUCCCAGCUACUUGGGAGGCUGAGGCAGGAGAAUUGCUUGAACCUGGGAAGCGGAGGUUGCAGUGAGCCGAGAUUGCGCCACUGCACUCCAGCCUGGGUAACAAAGCAAGACUCUGUCUCAA